rnacentral:rRNA from 1 species
AACGCUAGCUACAGGCUUAACACAUGCAAGUCGAGGGGCAGCAUGGAACUUCCUUUGCUAAGUUUCGAUGGUGACCGGCGCACGGGUGAGUAACACGUAUCCAACCUACCGUUUACUACGGGAUUUUCUUAAGGAAAGGAGAUUAAUAUCGUAUGGCAUUCUAAAGUUUCAUGACAUUAGAAUUAAAGGUUUACCGGUAAUCGAUGGGGAUGCUUUCCAUUAGAUAGUAGGCGGGGUAACGGCCCACCUAGUCAGCGAUGGAUAGGGGUUCUGAGAGGAAGGUCCCCCACAUUGGAACUGAGACACGGUCCAAACUCCUACGGGAGGCAGCAGUGAGGAAUAUCGGUCAAUGUUUUUGAGUCUGAACCAGCCAAGUAGCGUGAAUUUUGACUGCAAAAAUGGGUUGUAAUCUUUUUUUAUAAAGGAAUAAAGUAGUCCACGUGUGGAUUUUUGUAUGUACUUUAUGAAUAAGGUUUUUUUAACUCCGUGCCAGCAGCCGCGGUAAUACGGAGGAUCCAAGCGUUAUCCGGAUUUAUUGGGUUUAAAGGGAGCGUAGAUGGAUUUUUAAGUCAGUUGUGAAAGUUCGGGGCUCAACCCCGUAAUUGCAGUUGAUUCUGGAUAUCUUGAGUACAGUUGAGGUA